rnacentral:lncRNA from 1 species
UCAGAGUCAUCAGCUGGGAAAUUAGUAUUUAAUGUAGUGUAGUACAUGCUUGCUUGCUUGCUCACCCUCUCCUCCCUCUCCUCCCUCUGCUCAUUAUAAUGCCUUUAGCCAGAAGGUUCAGGGCAUAGGUGGAAGAUCAGCUCCUCUGGUAUAAUAAGACACAGAAAAUAAUUCACUGAUCCAUUAAUUUAUUCAGAAAUCCAACACUCUCAAUCUUUCUUCUUCUUCCUCCCAUAUCCAUUUCCCUCCCAUAGGUGAUACAGGCACUCCAGGCAAGAUUGUUACUUCAGAGGGAACAUCAACAAUCACUGUUCCAGGGCCUCCAGGACCACCAGGAUCCAUGGGACCCCCAGGUCCACCUGGCCUUCCAGGACCUAUUGGCCCAGCUGGUCUCCCAGGACAGCAAGGUAUGCCGCGCCUGGGAAUACUAAGGAUUGAUUAUGGGCUCCCAGAAAGUUCCCCAAAGCUC